rnacentral:misc_RNA from 1 species
UCCGGUUUGUCACCGGCAGUCUCCCUAGAGUUCCCGCCAUUACGCGCUGGCAACUAGGGACAGGGGUUGCGCUCGUUGCGCCACUUAAGGCAACACCUCACGGCACGAGCUGACGACAGCCAUGCACCACCUGUGCGGGCUCCGUAGAGCGCCGUGUUUCCACGGCUUCACCCCGCAUGUCAAGCCCAGGUAAGGUGGGGAUGACGUGUAACCGAAUCU